rnacentral:misc_RNA from 1 species
UUUGUUUUUUAAUUAAAAACUAGAAUGAAAGGUUAUACAUUCAAAUUUCUUUAUUAAUUUUUAAUAAAUAAUUUAUAUUAAAUAUAAAAAUAUAUUUAUAUUAAAAAAAGACGACAAGACCCUAUUAAAUUUUACUUAUAGUUUAGCUGGGGAAGCUUUUCAAUUAAAAUUUUUUAAAUUAAAAUAAAUAAAAAUCUAAUAAAAUUAAAUUUUAAUAAAUUACUAUAGGGAUAACAGCAUUAUAUUUUUAAAAAGUUCAUAUUAAAAAAAAUGAUUGUGACCUCGAUGUUGAAUUAUAUUUUCUAUAUUUAAUGCAAUAAUUAUAUAAGUAGAUCUGUUCGAUCUUUAAAAUAUUACAUGAUUUGAGUUCAAACCGGUGUAAACCAGGUUGGUUUCUAUCUUUUUAUAUAUUUUUCUAGUACGAAAGGACAAAAAAAUUUUUAUUCUAAUAAAUUAGCAAAUAUAUGCAUUAGAUUUAGAAUCUAAAUAUAAUUAAUAAU